AUUGAACGCUGGCGGCAGGCCUAACACAUGCCAGUCGAGCGAGCGGCGGACGGGUGAGUAAUGUCUGGACACCUGCCCGAUAGAGGGGGAUAACUACUGGACACGGUGGCUAAUACCGCAUACUAUCGGAUGUACCCAUAUGGGAUUAGCUAGUAGGUGGGGUAAUGGCUCACCUAGGCGACGAUCUAUAGCUGGUCUGAGAGGAUGAUCAGCCACACUGGGACUGAGACACGGCCCAGACUCCUACGGGAGGCAGCAGUGGGGAAGAUUGCACAAUGGGCGCAAGCCUGAUGCAGCCAUGCCGCGUGUAUGAAGAAGGCCUUAGGGUUGUAAAGUACUUUCAGCGGGGAGGCGUUACCCGCAGAAGAAGCACCGGCUAACUCCGUGCCAGCAGCCGCGGUAAUAC
rnacentral:rRNA from 1 species